rnacentral:tRNA from 1 species
UUAGAAAGAUAGGAGUUGAACCUAUAG